GUUCAAUCCAAAGCUCUACCACCGCAUCGAAUCUCCAGCAGGUUUGUGUUCCUUCUCUGGGCUUUUUUUUUUAUUAUCGGUUUGAUUUGUGGAUCUAAUGUUUUUUUUGGUUCGAUUCCCUUUUGCAUGCGUGGUAUUUGAUCUGGGUUUGCAUCGUCUCACUCUCGCCGGUAUUUUUUGGCCGCCGUCAUCUAUUCUCACCGAUUCCAGAAGGAUCUCGCCGUCGUCUUCCGAAUCGAACGAUACCAGGUUUGUCUUCUAUAUCUGUUAAUCAUCUGUCUCUAUGUUAAGGUCUGCGAAUUACAGGAAACGAUUUGCUUGGUUUGUUCGAAUUGAUUGGUUUGUUUCUGAAUAUUUGGUUGUAUAGUUCGUGUGUAUAGAGUUUCUGAAUGUUUGUGUGUAUAGGUUCUGAUGGAUUGGUUGGUGAGGAAUUUGAUUGUGAACUGAUCUGUGUCUGAUUGUAAAGUCCAUUGAUGCAUGUAUUUUAGAAUAAAUUUUGGAAUUUAUACUCGAUGGAUCUGUGUUUGUUUGACAUUGUGAAUGUAUACUUGAUUGAUUAGUGAAGUGUAUUCGGUAAAAGCUGGCAUAAUAUGUUGUUUAAAUUACAUUGUCUUCAUCAUUGAAUUCACCAGUGUGGAAAUUUUAGAAAAAACUGGUGUGGACAUUUAAGGGAGACGUUGUUAUAACUGUUGUAGUUAGUUUGUUUUUUUAGUUAUUAGUUUCGAACGAGUAACCAGUCUGUAAGGAGUAUAUAAGUUUAUUGUUUGCUCAUUGUAACUUGAGUGUAUUUUGUUUCUAACCAAAUGAAAAUAUUUAGUCAGUUGAUUGUUUUGAUGGUUUUUAAGUGUUGUAAUAACUAUUGAUUAGACCAUAGUAGUUGAUGGUUAGGUCUUUCUUUAAAGCUCUUUAUGAUCUCUUUCUCUCUUUUUUCUUUAUAUAACCGCAAGAAGCUAUAAUUCUUUUCAUAGUAAUCUCUUUCUCUCUUAUUUCUCUCUUGUUUCUCUUUCUGUCUUUUAUAAUCCUCUCAUUCUGCUCGCUAUGGAUUCAAGGAAUCCUUUGAAUCCAUAUAGUGACUCCCCUAGUUAUAGCUAUCUUCUCCACAGUCAAAACUUCCAGUAUGGAAGUUAUCCUCCGAGUCAAAACUUUGGAGGAGGAUCGGAGAUACCUCCUUUUAGUUCACAAGCACCCGACGCUCCAGCUCAACGUGAAAACCCAACAGUUGCCUCUAAGGAGAGAAGGCAAUAGACUCCAGCUGAUGACGAGGUUGUAAUAAGUGUGUGGCUCAACACAUCUAAGGAUGCUGUUGUUGGAAAUCAACAAAAAUCUGGGAUGUUCUGGAAACGUGUAGCUGAGUAUUAUGCAUCUAGCCCACAUGCGAAAGAGAGUGGUGAACCUAGAGAGUGGCCCAAUCUUAAGCAGAGGUGGCAGAAGAUUAAUGACUACACCAACAAAUUCUGUGGUGCUUACGCGGCUGCAGAGAGACACAUCAGUUCUGGUCAGAGCGAGACUGAUGUCCUCAAGGCGGCUUAUGAUAUUUACUUCGCUAAUCAUCACAGGAAAUUCAAUCUGGAGCAUGUGUGGUGUUUGUUAAGGUUUGAGCAGAAGUGGCUCAGUCUUAACACUCCUAAACCUAGUGGGAGUGGAAAGCGAAAAGCUGGAGAGGAAUGUUCGCAAACAUCAAGCACCACUGUUGGUGAUCAAGACGUGCGUUCAGAGGGUAGCAAGGCUGCUAAAGCUAGAAAGAAUAACACUCAAGGACUAAAAUCCAUUGAUGAGAGUAAGACCAUAAUGGAGUUGAAGAAGGAGGAUCUCAUGAGGAAGGAGAAAUUGUCGAAGCUUGCCAUUCUAGACACACUCCUAGCUAAGCCAGGAACACUAAGUGAGGCUGAGGAAGUUGUGAAGAACAAGCUGCUCGCUCAGCUUUUCUGAAAAUGUCUUUUAAAUUUAUUAAGUAUCUGUUUCCUGAAAAUGUUCUGUGUAAUAACUUGUGUUUCUGCUGUUUCUGCUUGCUACUUUGAUGAAUAACUUGUAUUUCUGCUGCUUCCAUGUCAAAUGUAUUCCAGUUUCGUAGUAAUGAAAUAAAUGUUUCUGCUUGCACUAUUGUUUUUCUGUUUCCUUAAAUGUUUCCUUAAAUAAUUAAGAGGACUAAUGUAUUUAAAUGAGUAUUCUUGGCAGGUUUAUUUAAAAAUGGGGAGAUAUAGUUACAGCCAGCCUUCGUGUUCGUCAGAGUAUGGUGGGGAGUACUCUAGUAAUAAUGCUUCUGAGUACUGAACACCUCAUUCGUCUUGACCAAGAAGAGUUGAGCUUGAAAUAUGGUGACACGGCUCCGUACCCUCAGCAGUACCCUCCACAACCGGAGGUGGAGUUUGGAUUCCCCCAAGUUUGCUACUGUGGUCGUGCACCAAAGAUAGCUACAUCAUACACAAGGCUUGAUCCAGGGAGGAGAUACUAUACCUGCGAGCAUGUGGAUGAUGGAGAAUGCCAUGUACAUAAGUGGUAGGAUGUCGCAGUGAUGGAGGAGAUGAGGGCGAGGGAUAAACACGUACUACAAUUGGAGGAAAAGGUAGACUGUCUGAACCUUAUGAGUGACUAUGAUUCAGAUGAGAAGGUGCUUAGGCUAGAGCAGUUAGUUUGUGACUUGGCUAAGAAGAAAUCUAGUUUUAUAAAUGGCUUUGAGGUAUUCAUUGGAGUAAUGCUCGUCGUUUUAGUUCUACUAUGGGUGGUGAUCGUAUUUUAGUGAUUCUCGGUGCUUGGCGAAGAAGUAAUCUAGUUGUACUUGGGUUAUUGUUUUCGUUUGAAUGAUGUAUGCUAAAAUUACUUAUGUAGUGUAAUAACUUAUGUAUGGUAAAUGGCUUUGACUUAUGUUUCUUCUUAUGUAUGGUAAUUCGACGGUCUUUUCUUAAAUUGUGUUGUAAUAACUGGUGAUGAUCAGAUUUAUAACUUGACUUUUGUUUGAAACCAACUAAAGGAUUUAAUACUUGAAAUGAAUCUCAAAAUGUACCAUAGUGUCGUAAAUUAAACUAAAACAAUCUUAAUAUUUUUAAAAACAAAACAAAAUUCAAAAAAACAAAACAAAAUUCCAAUGGCAUCCGUGAAGCUUGAAAACAAAACCAACUUCACUGCUUGGUCCGUGAAGUUGAAAACAAGACACACAUCAAUGCUCGUGAAUAACAUUCAGAUGUGUAAGAGUCACAAGCAUUGUUUUUUACUUCCAAAAGAAAACAAAAUACUAUCAGAAGCUGUAUAAUUUCAAUCACAUUUGUUUUACAAGAUACACUUAUAUGAUCCUAUAAAUAUGAUAGAUCGUUGGAAAUUUCAAGACAUCCCUUCCCUCAUCAGAAUCUUCUCCUCUUUCAUCAACAUUUCAUUUAAAAAAAAAAAUCUUAUGGCAUCUUCUUCUCAUUAUCACUACCACAAUGAUGAUGAUGAUGAUGAAAUUGAUUCCAUAGUAGAAGAUUUUGUUGGAAACUUUGAUCUUAUUCAAGAACCAAAAGAGCGGAAGCAACGUAUUUAUAUGGAGAGGUUCCGAGAAGACGGCCACCAGAUGCUCUGGAAUGAUUACUUUAGCGAGACUCCAACUUACAACCCCGAAUUAUUCCGCCGACGGUUUCGAAUGAACAAAUCUUUGUUCCUGCGUAUUUUGCAACGUCUCGAAACCAACAUACCGUAUUUUCAACAAGGAAAAGAUUGUACCGGACGGUCUAGUCUAACACCCCUACAAAAAUGUACUGCAGCAAUUCGACAGUUGGCAUAUGGCGGUGCAGCUGAUUCACUUGUUGAGUAUGUCCGACUUGCUGAAACGACAGCUCGGAAAUAUUUGCACAAAUUUACCGCCGGAAUAAUCAGCUUGUUUGGUGAUGAAUACCUACGCCAACCCACACAUGAGGAUCUGCAAAGACUUCUCUAUAUCGGAGAACAACGUGGGUUUCCGGGGAUGAUUGGCAGCAUCGACUGUAUGCAUUGGGAGUGGAAGAAUUGCCCCCACUGCUUGGAAAGGAAUGUAUUCACGAGGAACCGAAAAACCAACAAUUGUUUUGGAGGCGGUAGCUUCAAGUGACCUCUGGAUAUGGUACGCAUUUUUUGGAGCUCCAGGUAAUAUGAACGAUCUUAAUAUUCUUGAUCGAUCACCCGUUUUUUAUGACAUUAAUUAACGGAAUUGCGCCACAAGUGAACUUCUAUGUUAAUGGUAAUUCAUACCAUUUGGCAUAUUAUCUCGCUGAUGGUAUUUAUCCUAAAUGAGCGACUUCCACAAAGUGAGAAACAUUCGUUAUUUGCUAAAACCCAAGAAGCUGUUCGAAAAGAUGUGGAGCGUACCUUCGGAGUUCUGCAAGCUAGAUUUGUCGUAGUGAAAAAUCCAUCCAAGUUAUGGGAUAAAGACAAAAUAGCAAAUAUUAUGAAAGCAUGCAUCAUACUCGAUAAUAUGAUUGUCGAGGAUGAACGAUCAACAUACACUCAGUAUAACGUGAGAGAAUUUCAAGAAAGCGAGGAAGAUGAUACAUUCACCGUUACUCCGAAUUCAAAUCUCGGCACUGCAAUGGAUCGUCGAUCGAGCGUUCGUAACAGACAAGCCCAUGAACAAUUAAAAUUCGAUUUGAUUGAAAAUAUUUAGGCUAAAUUUCGACAUCUUCCAAAUAACCAAUGAUUUUUAAGUUUCUAUGAAUUGAAUAAAAUGUGUGAUUUAUGAAUUUUUUUUUAUGUAUGGAAUGUAAUAAAAUUUUUGUAAUUUUAAUUAAAUGAAUUUUUUUUUCUCCUUUUAAUGUAUUGAAUAUAAAUGGAUAUAUCUUAAUUACUACUUAUUAAUAAAAAAAUAUAUUUUAUACCUAAGAACCUUCGAAAAGUUCCAUUGAUAAUGUUGUAUUUUACUUAAGUAUCUUAGAAAACUUCUUAGACUAAAAAUAGUAAUUAAAAAUUCUAAGAUGUUUGCUAAGAGUUGCCAUUGAUAAUGUUGCUCUAAGAGCAUAGCCAGCGAUUACAUUCUAGGUGGAGUUCUAAACCAAUAAAACAAUUAAGGAAAAUAAAAAUAGGUAGGAGUUAUAAGAAAAAGGUGUCAGGAUUUCUCUACCCAGACUUUUUGAGAACCGAUUUUGAACUCCUCUUGCCUGGUCGCAUGUUACUGGUUUUCUUUUCCAACAAUUAUUAAAACUAAAUUAUAUAAUCAAGAUAUACUUAAAUAAUAAUAUUUAUAUACUUAGAUAUGCAUUUUGAGUCUCUCCGAGAGUGGGAUGCUCUUAACUAUAAAUCUUAAUUACAAAUUAGUUAACAAUAGGGGUAUUAUUAUGAAUAUUAUGUGAUGUUCCUUAUAAAUGUAUUAGAUUUACUUGAUUGUCAAGUUUACUUGUUCUCCAAGUUCUACUUCUUCUCCAAGCUAUUGUUAUCAUAUAUAAAGGAUCAUUACUCAUUGAAUAAUACACACCAAUUUCUCUUCUCUCUUCUCUACUUUAUAACAUGUUAUCAACACGAAUCUCUAACGAUCUUGAGCUAAUAGCAAACAUUCACAGACUCAUGUAGACUCUGUAAACCAAGAAGACAACUCAACAUCCAUGUGUACGACGAAAGACGGAUGAAUAGUAUAUGAGUAUCUUUCAUUCAUAGUUAAGUUAAUGGUAAUGUUUAGCUUUGUAAUAUAUAAUAUGAUAUAUAUAUAUAUAUAUAUUUUUUUUUAAUUAACAUUGUAUAUAUACGAGGGUUUAAAGUUUAAGGUUUGACCUUACAAGAUCCAUAAGUCUUGGAGAAUAAUAUAAAGAAAGAUAUUAUCACCUAAAGUGAUUACCUAAAGCUCAUUUUGUAUUUUGCAUAUAAGGAUUACAAGACCUGAAGUCUGUAAAUAAAGCCAACUAUGUUGAAUGUUAAGUUUAAAGGCAAAAUUUCUUGAAUAAUUUUUUUUAUGAUGCAUAUAUAUUAGAAAAUAUAUUUUUCACACAAGUAAUAUUGACCAGCAGACACAUGAUUAAGAAAAGAGAUUAAAAAAAAAGUUUAUACUUGUAAUUUGUCUACACUUGUAAUUUGUCUCCUUCAGACUCAGAAAAAUAAUGAGCUAUUGACGUAAGAUGAUAAAUUACGUCUAGUUGAUUAUGAUCCAUUCUCGUGAAGAGAAUAUGACAUUUUACCACAAAAUAGUGUUGGUCAAGAAAAUGAACAUAAAAGUGGUUUUAGACGUGAGCGUGGACAUAAAUAAGGUCAAAAUCCAAAUAGUUUCCUUAUAGAACUCAUACUCUCACUUGAUAUUUAGAAAAUAAAUAUGGUAAUAGAGAAGAGAAAUGAUUCAUUCAUCUGAAGAUGAAAGAAAUUUUUUUGUGAGUAUAAUACAAGGUAGUAAAACCUUAUAGAAUGUUUAAUAAGAGGAUAUAUAUGAUGCUCCAGAAGAGUACAUAGUAUUAGUGUCCACAUAAAAAUGCAAUUUAACAUUCCUAAGAAUGCAAUUUAAAGUUCUUAAGGUAUUGUAUUCUUAUAAGUCUCAAAAGUUAGAAGAAUCUAAGAAAAAAACAUAACCCAUGUAGGGUAUAUUGUUGAUUAGAAAAAUGAGAUUCAUUCGAGAUUGAUAAACAUGUAGUAUUAUCAUCUCAAGGGGAAGAGUUAAAGAAUCUCACAUUUUAUGAUAAGUGAAACAUCCAGAAGAUUAUGUUUUCACUAAAACGAAGAUCGAUGAAUCAUUCUCAAAUUAAAUCUGUGAAAUUUUGAGACAUUUAUGUUGAGACAAUAAGCAAAAGAAAUGCUAUAUACAUUUCAAAUCAGAAAUAUUUCUCAAGGCAGUAUAAGUAUUUUAGAGAAAGUAUUUACAGCCUCUUAUAGAUUGUACUGCACAAAGAUUAGUGUAAUGAAGAUAAAAAAUAUAUAGUAAACCAGAAGUUUACAAAACAUUUGGCAUGAACCAGUUAGACCGAUCAUUUUGGUUCAGUAAUAAUGCGAAAAGAUACAUAAAGAUUUAGGUAAAUAUUCAUUGAAGAACCAGAAGAUUCUUGCGAAUGAUUUCACAUAUGUUGCUUGCUCACAAGAUAAAUGGUUAUAUGGUUUUCACCAGCCAAAGGAAGUUAUUGGCAUAAAAGAGAUGUUGGUGGACUGAUCACCCACUAUUCAUCUUUAUAAUCUUGGUGAAUUCACGUCUUAAGUCUUUGAUGAUUAUAGAAAAAUCACUCGGAUAAGUGUUAAACAUUUUGAGCAACACUGAUUCGCAUCAAGCCAACAAGUGAUCACUGAUUCUCUCCAUCAUUGGUAUUGGGUCAGAAACCAACCAUUUUCCAUCUAAGAAUUUUGGAUGUGCAAUAUACAUUUCAGUUGUUCCACCAUAGAACUUAGUUAAGAUGUUAAUAAGGUUGGAGAUAUAUGUUGGAUAUGAAUCUAUGUUGUUACUUAAGUAUCUAAAGCCAUCCCCGAAGGAUAUAAGUAAGGCUUAAUAUAAAUGCUAAAAGUGAAUUAGUAUUUCCAACAUAACAGGGAGAAAAUAAAAAGCUAGAAAAUAAAAUAAUUCAAUUAUAGUGAGUUAUCAUUGAUCCUCGGACUAAAGAAAAUGUCAAAUAGAAGUCCAAAAUGAUAAUUCAAUUAUAGUGCUUAGUAAAGCAGUUGCCAGACACAUUUGUUAACUCAAAUAAAUAUUGUGAUCAAGUCACAUAUAAUAUGAAUUUUAAAAUAAAUAUAUCUCAUCGAUCCAGCAUAAUUUAUUUGAAGUGCUAAUUUUGAAAAUGUUUACUACUAAUUUUUAAAUAAUUAGUUUAUCUUUAGUGUUGGUCAAAAGAACCACUACUACUGGAAAAUCUUUAGAUAAUUUUUAUUAUAUUUUCUGUUUUUUUUUUUAAAUAUUAAUUUAUAUAUAAAUAUUGAUUUCAAAAUAAAAACUUUCAGCUAGUUUUGAAAAUUUAAGUUACUAACUUUUAGAUAAUAUUUUUUACAUAUUUUUAAUUAGAUUUUUAAUGGAAAAAUCCAUCAACUGUGUUUAUUUAAUGUAAAAUC